rfam:Brassica yellows virus isolate BrYV-ABJ, complete genome.
GGGAAACGGAGUGCGCGGCGCCGACCGCGAAACAAACGGC